UGGACUGUAGCCUUCAAAAUCCCAUUCCUGCUCUUUUCCCGCGAUUCAUCAAACACAUUUAGUGUGUCUGACUUGUGGUCAGACUCGCUCAAGUGGAACAAAUUUAAAUGUGUGCCUUUGUGUCAAAGAUUACAUGUAAUCCGUUACUCCCCAACCCCGGAUUCCUGACAACGCCUAGUAUAUUGAGAUUGCGUCACCUGUGGAUCUGUUGGGGCGGGAUGCGAACUGGAGUGGGUGUAGGGUUUCGGGAAUGAUGGUGUUGAUGUGAGCCAUGACCAGCCUUUCAACGCACUUCAUGGCUACCGACGCAGACUUUGCAGUGCCUCCAUGUGCGACUGCCUUGAGCCGCAGAUUGAGGGACUUCGGAGGGGAAACGCUGAGCAGUGAGGCGUAGGGAAUUGUCUACAGUAGGACGACCCCCAGUGGAUGGACGCCGAGGGGUGAGGUGCUCCUCCGGCAGCUCUCUCAUAAGGUUCUCUCUGUACGUUUGGUGGGUCAUCACCUCACCUACGGUUGAGAGGGAGUGGAGAGGGUGAUGAGGGAGUUGGUAGGUGGGUGAGAUAUUUUCAAUAUAAUUGCAUACUGGAACUGUAUGUCAAUAAUUUGAUUUUUUUAUGUGUUCCGUAAUCAUCUCACUUGUUAGCUGGCGGUGAACUAUGUGGCCAUUGAGGACAGCAAUGUGGAUCAGAUGGAAAAAUAUCUUCUUGGACCACUUGGUGGUCCACCUUCCCUGUGGCCGACAAGGACAUCUUGUUUGUCAUGCCACUGUUGACUGUUCUGAAUGCACCAAUGUGCCCCUAUGCUGUUGGAGAACAGAUGCUGGAAGAGUGUGGGACUGCUGCACCAAUCCUCAAAGACCCGGACACUCCAAGCCCCUCAUAAUGCUGGAUGUCAGUGGUGGACCCUGUGUAGAGUAUAAUGUCCUGGACAAAUCCUGUCUUCGUGUCACACAUAACAAAGCACUUGACCCCUAACCUGUGCCUUUUGGAGGGAAUAUAUUGAUGGAAAGCCAUCCUACCCUUCCAUAACAUCAGGGACUGACGAACUAACACAGCAGGUUAAGUGAAUUAAAGUAGCAGGUUAGGAGAAUAAGUUUAAGGUUAGGAAAAGGGUUAGGCUUAGCUAUACUACUACAAUUGGCAACAACAGUCCUGAUGCGACCACUAGAUAAAGCAGAUUUUUGUGUGUAAUAUUUUAUUAUAUUUUUCAAAAUAUUAACAAACACAGACAAAAGACAACAGACAGAGACACACACAAACAUCAACGACAUCACCCCUGCCCAGACCCACAUGCUUCCACCGCCUUUUUCUCCAGCGCCUGCAAGACUAUUCCACAUGACCUCAAACUGCGCCACUCUGCACUUCUCUGUCGCCCACACACUUUCAAUAUUUGAUUCUUCCUCCGGCCCCUUGAUUUUCAGUUUUUAAGCAAAAGGUUUUUUUGGUUUUUUUUAAUAAUUGACGAGAAUAGUACGGUCCAACCGAUUGGAAAUCUCACCAUACCCGCGGUGUCUUGAAAUAUACAGAUAGACGGAUUAAAAGUAUAUUUAUAUUGUAAAACUUCUGACAGCCAACUUUCUAACUUUUGGACUAUAGCACUCUCAGGAGGCAUGAAUAAUUGAGUCACCACUGUUAGUUUUACACUUAAGACAUAUGUCUCUGCAAUUGUGCUGCAGAAUUUGUAAAUUUGGACUGUAUAAUAAAUAUAUACAUUAGUUUAUAUUGGAUAAAGUGUACGUUUUCGUUAACUGUAAUUUUGUUAGUUAUGUUCCAAUAGUCCCUCCAUCUUGUGCCAAUAUCAGUUAUUGUUAGGUCUUGGUUCCAAUAGUUUAUAUUUUUUGGAUAGGCUUUCUUCAAGGUUUUGUAUACCUUACCAAUCAUGUGAGCAUAAUUUUCUGACACAAAUAAAAUUCCCUCAACAUUGCUCUGAUGUCCAAAAGAUUUCAGAUUUAAAUUUCGUGAUAUAAAACUUUUAAAUUGCA
rnacentral:lncRNA from 1 species